UACGAAGGGGGCUAGCGUUGUUCGGAAUUACUGGGCGUAAAGGGCGCGUAGGCGGCCUGUUAAGUCGAACGUGAAAUCCCCGGGCUCAACCCGGGAACUGCGUCCGAUACUGGCAGGCUUGAAUCCGGGAGAGGGAUGCGGAAUUCCAGGUGUAGCGGUGAAAUGCGUAGAUAUCUGGAGGAACACCGGUGGCGAAGGCGGCAUCCUGGACCGGCAUUGACGCUGAGGCGCGAAAGCCAGGGGAGCAAACGGG
rnacentral:rRNA from 1 species